AGAGGUGGCGAGCGUUAUUCGGAAUUAUUGGGCGUAAAGGGCGCGUAGGCGGCCAAGUAAGUCUCGGGUGAAAUCCCUCGGCUCAACCGAGGAACUGCCCUGGAAACUGCUUGGCUCGAGGUCGGGAGAGGGUAGUGGAAUUCCCAGUGUAGCGGUGAAAUGCGUAGAUACUGGGAGGAACACCAGUGGCGAAGGCGGCUACCUGGRCCGAAUCUGACGCUGAGGCGCGAAAGCGUGGGGAGCAAACAGGAUUAGAUACCCYGGUWGUYCMCGCUGUAAACGAUGGAUGMUCGGURCUGGGGGUAUCGAC
rnacentral:rRNA from 1 species